rnacentral:rRNA from 1 species
AACGAACGCUGGCGGCAUGCCUAACACAUGCAAGUCGAACGAGACCUUCGGGUCUAGUGGCGCACGGGUGCGUAACGCGUGGGAACCUGCCUUUAGGUUCGGAAUAACUCAGAGAAAUUUGAGCUAAUACCGGAUAAUGUCUUCGGACCAAAGAUUUAUCGCCUUUAGAUGGGCCCGCGUUGGAUUAGCUAGUUGGUGGGGUAAAGCCUACCAAGGCGACGAUCCAUAGCUGGUCUGAGAGGAUGAUCAGCCACACUGGGACUGAGACACGGCCCAAACUCCUACGGGAGGCAGCAGUGGGGAAUAUUGGACAAUGGGCGAAAGCCUGAUCCAGCAAUGCCGCGUGAGUGAUGAA